rnacentral:piRNA from 1 species
UAAGCUUACUUUGAGGUGACUUAGCUUGGU